rnacentral:rRNA from 1 species
GAUGAACGCUGGCGGCGUGCCUAAUACAUGCAAGUCGAGCGAACGGACGAGAAGCUUGCUUCUCUGAUGUUAGCGGCGGACGGGUGAGUAACACGUGGAUAACCUACCUAUAAGACUGGGAUAACUUCGGGAAACCGGAGCUAAUACCGGAUAAUAUUUUGAACCGCAUGGUUCAAAAGUGAAAGACGGUCUUGCUGUCACUUAUAGAUGGAUCCGCGCUGCAUUAGCUAGUUGGUAAGGUAACGGCUUACCAAGGCAACGAUGCAUAGCCGACCUGAGAGGGUGAUCGGCCACACUGGAACUGAGACACGGUCCAGACUCCUACGGGAGGCAGCAGUAGGGAAUCUUCCGCAAUGGGCGAAAGCCUGACGGAGCAACGCCGCGUGAGUAAUGAAGGUCUUCGGAUCGUAAAACUCUGUUAUUAGGGAAGAACAUAUGUGUAAGUAACUGUGCACAUCUUGACGGUACCUAAUCAGAAAGCCACGGCUAACUACGUGCCAGCAGCCGCGGUAAUACGUAGGUGGCAAGCGUUAUCCGGAAUUAUUGGGCGUAAAGCGCGCGUAGGCGGUUUUUUAAGUCUGAUGUGAAAGCCCACGGCUCAACCGUGGAGGGUCAUUGGAAACUGGAAAACUUGAGUGCAGAAGAGGAAAGUGGAAUUCCAUGUGUAGCGGUGAAAUGCGCAGAGAUAUGGAGGAACACCAGUGGCGAAGGCGACUUUCUGGUCUGUAACUGACGCUGAUGUGCGAAAGCGUGGGGAUCAAACAGGAUUAGAUACCCUGGUAGUCCACGCCGUAAACGAUGAGUGCUAAGUGUUAGGGGGUUUCCGCCCCUUAGUGCUGCAGCUAACGCAUUAAGCACUCCGCCUGGGGAGUACGACCGCAAGGUUGAAACUCAAAGGAAUUGACGGGGACCCGCACAAGCGGUGGAGCAUGUGGUUUAAUUCGAAGCAACGCGAAGAACCUUACCAAAUCUUGACAUCCUUUGACAACUCUAGAGAUAGAGCUUUCCCCUUCGGGGGACAAAGUGACAGGUGGUGCAUGGUUGUCGUCAGCUCGUGUCGUGAGAUGUUGGGUUAAGUCCCGCAACGAGCGCAACCCUUAAGCUUAGUUGCCAUCAUUAAGUUGGGCACUCUAAGUUGACUGCCGGUGACAAACCGGAGGAAGGUGGGGAUGACGUCAAAUCAUCAUGCCCCUUAUGAUUUGGGCUACACACGUGCUACAAUGGACAAUACAAAGGGCAGCGAAACCGUGAGGUCAAGCAAAUCCCAUAAAGUUGUUCUCAGUUCGGAUUGUAGUCUGCAACUCGACUACAUGAAGCUGGAAUCGCUAGUAAUCGUAGAUCAGCAUGCUACGGUGAAUACGUUCCCGGGUCU